rnacentral:tRNA from 1 species
AGGGAUGUAGUUAAAAAUAACAUUUGAUUUGCAUUCAAAAAGAAUUGAAAAUUCAAUCUUCCUUA